CGGGGCGUGGCGCAGCCCGGUAGCGCACCUGCUUUGGGAGCAGGGGGUCGGGAGUUCGAAUCUCCCCGCCCCGACCA
rnacentral:tRNA from 1 species